GCCAAGGGAAUCCCAGAGAAACCUUGAAAGCUGAAUUUACAGCCAUGAUGGGAUGGGAGAUUGGACAUGCCUCAUUAUACCCUCCUCCUAGCUGAGUCAUUAGGUUUUCUUUCCUAAGGACUAAACAAAAACCAGUUCUUUCAAAAGACCACUAGCUUAUCUUCCCAGAUUGAAGAACUCUGUUUAGCAUGUCUUGUAGGACAGAUCUGGUGUUGAUGAAGUCCCUCAGCUUUUGUUUAUCUGGAGUACUCAAGCACAGCAGCAAUUACGAGAUCAUUGAAGAGGCUGGAUACAAAAGUCGAAAUCCUGGG